GCCUGGCUAGCUCAAUCGGUAGAGCGUGAGACUCUUAAAACAGUCAUCUCAAGGUUGUGGGUUCGACCCCCACGUUAGGCU
rnacentral:tRNA from 2 species